rnacentral:misc_RNA from 1 species
ACCACGCAACAGUUAGUGAUGAUGACGAACUUGGACGAUGGCAACGGCUUUCCAGCGUCGCGAACAGAGGGUGCACAUGAACAGCGAGCUCGGCGAGACUUUCGGCGUCGCGAACGGAGGGCGUACGUCGAGCUGGCAGCAAGUAACAUGCGAUGCAAAAAGGAGAAGCGAGCAGGGGAUAUGGCUCGGUUGAGGUGGGGGAAGAAGACCGUGAUCUUGCAUUUUAUACAGCAGAGAGAGGUGAGGGCGUCGAGAAAAGAGAUCGCUGCUGCCAUUAAUGGCGUGCAAGAGAAGAAAAAGUCUGAUGAUCGUGGAAACAAAUAUUGGAAAGAUAAAAGGAAUUCACGUACAAGGGAAGUAGAUCUAAAGAGGGGG